UCCCUGGAGGACUAGUGGUUAGGCCACAGCGCUCUCACCGCCACUGCCUGGGUUCGAUUCCUGGCCAGGGAG
rnacentral:tRNA from 1 species